rnacentral:rRNA from 1 species
AGUGAACGCUGGCGGUAGACCUAACACAUGCAAGUCGAACGGCAGCACAGUAAGAGCUUGCUCUUACGGGUGGCGAGUGGCGGACGGGUGAGGAAUACAUCGGAAUCUACUUUUUCGUGGGGGAUAACGUAGGGAAACUUACGCUAAUACCGCAUACGACCUACGGGUGAAAGCAGGGGAUCUUCGGACCUUGCGCGAUUGAAUGAGCCGAUGUCGGUUUAGUUAGUUGGCGGGGUAAAGGCCCACCAAGGCGACGAUCCGUAGCUGGUCUGAGAGGAUGAUCAGCCACACUGGAACUGGAACACGGUCCAGACUCCUACGGGAGGCAGCAGUGGGGAAUAUUGGACAAUGGGGGCAAGCCUGAUCCAGCCAUACCGCGUGGGUGAAGAAGGCCUUCGGGUUGUAAAGCCCUUUUGUUGGGAAAGAAAAGCAGCAGGUUAAUACCCCGCUGUUCUGACGGUACCCAAAGAAUAAGCACCGGCUAACUUCGUG